UACGGAGGGAGCUAGCGUUGUUCGGAAUUACUGGGCGUAAAGCGCACGUAGGCGGCUUUGUAAGUUAGAGGUGAAAGCCCGGGGCUCAACUCCGGAACUGCCUUUAAAACUGCAUCGCUUGAAUCCAGGAGAGGUGAGUGGAAUUCCGAGUGUAGAGGUGAAAUUCGUAGAUAUUCGGAAGAACACCAGUGGCGAAGGCGACUCACUGGACGACUGUUGACGCUGAGGUGCGAAAGCGUGGGGAGCAAACAGG
rnacentral:rRNA from 1 species